rnacentral:lncRNA from 1 species
GGGAGGAGAGGUCAGGUGGACUGUCAGAGGAAAGCAUGUAGGAUACAGUCCCUGGAGGUCCAGGAUUUGGGGGCCUCCGAGGUUCUUGACAGCUGUGACCCUUUGGGCUGGGAUGAUCCUGACAGAACAUCAGGUUCCCCAGCUCUGUCCCCUCUACAGUCUCUCCAGAAGAAGGGUCUGGGGGAAUCCGCCUUGCCCUGACUUCCCAUAAUAUUCAAACCAGAGUUCUUCGCAGUUCCUGGAGAGACCUACUCCCCCUACCCCAGAACAUGGGGCUCAAGAUACUUUAUGGAAACAAGUCCCAUCGCUCUAGACCGCCUGCGGGAAUCUUCCUCUGGGGAGACACAGCUCUGGCCUUGGAAUCUGUCACAGCUGGGUCUGAGCGUUGGCACUGCUGAUGUCUGGCGAUGGUGGCUGACACGGAGUCACUUUGUCCGCGGAGCUUUCAGUUUUCUGUACUGUCCAAUGGGGAGAAGAAGAGCAGCCUGGUGGGGAUACAAGGAUCCAGCAGCCCUCUGGAGGUGUCCACUGUGUAUCCGUGACAUCAGAUUGCUUUGGGGAACAAGAGGGAAGCCUCACGUGCAAGAGCCACCUCCUUCCUGCCAGGAGACUCAGCUGACUGACUUCCACUUUUGGAAGGUUCUCCCCUCUCAGCCACCUCUACUCACCCUACUGCUUUGUCUGAGCCAAGGAUCCCGCAGCUGAAGAUCACAGGGCAGAUCUUGGGAAGAAUUUCCUGAAGGAAUGUCUGAGGCAGAGCUACAGUAUUUGAAGUUUACAGAUUUCCUAGAAAUGGCAAUGAAAGGUCCACCCACUUGAGGAAGAGACCAACAAUGUGCUUUCCAGGAUGAAGCGAGCAUGAGAGGAGGCGCUUGGAAAAUCUGACUUAACUAAGAAGGGAUAGGGAAUCCUUGAUAGAAGACCUGCAAGUAUCAAAGACCCAGAUCUAGACCCAGCUGCUCGCAUCCGGGCCUCUGUAGAUUCAGGACGGCGGACAGAACCUCGCGGGCCUGGGUCUCCUUUCCUCUCGCAACAGCACCGCAGAGAGCGCCCUUCAGCACCGCGGACAGCAAUCCUGCUGGGGUCAGAGCUUCCACCCAGCCUCUGCCUGGAAAUGGCUCUUUGGGGCAGUUGGGAUGCAGGCCCGCGAGCGGCUGAAUAGAUCAAUUAUUUUUCAGAACAUGAUUUUGAUCCCGAUGUUACUUCUCAGGAUCACUGAGUGGAAAGGGCUCGCGGAGAAAAUGGCAUUUUUUAUCACCCUGGCAAAAUGCUCCCGCACUGAUGAGAUGAGGCGCCCGGCGAGUGCGCGCGCGCACUUGUGAUACAUAACUAACCAGAAGCAUAAUCUUCUAAAUUGAAAGCCAUAAUGUUUGCUGUUGGAGCUAAAUAUUAACAGGGCGUUGUCUCCCCCAACGACCCUCGGGAGACAGCUGGCUUAGCGGGAGGCUGCCGUCAUAUUCAAGCAACUUGAUUAAAUUCCUUUCUGCCAUCAGAAUUAAGAAAUGAAUAGUUUUAUGAGAGUCAUGCCACAGAGGACAGGAAAAUGAAAUGUUCAGGAAAGAGAGCAGGAGGGUUGCCUGCUCUGUGUUCCUGUAGGGAGUGCUGUCAAUCUACCUAGAAGGGGUGGGCUCAGUAUUGUGUAUGAUAGGCAGUCUUGACUCCUCUCUGGUCAUAAAACACACUGUGGAGCCUCCUUAGGAGAUCUCUCAGUUGUUCAUGGGAGAGGCAGCAAAUUGUGUGGCUGACUUCAUGAUCUCCGGAUCUAGAACCACUGUAUUCAAAUCCCAUUGUUAUUCCCAAGUUGCUGUGUGAUCUUAGGCAAAUUAUCUAACCUUUCUGUGGCAAAGCUUUUCUAGUUGUAAUAAAAUGAAUUUAUCUCAGUAC